GUACACUCCUGCGGGAGGCAGCAGUGGGGAAUUUUGGACAAUGGGCGAAAGCCUGAUCCAGCAAUGCCGCGUGAGUGAAGAAGGCCUUCGGGUUGUAAAGCUCUUUUGUCAGGGAAGAAACGGUGAGAGCUAAUAUCUCUUGCUAAUGACGGUACCUGAAGAAUAAGCACCGGCUAACUACGUGCCAGCAGCCGCGGUAAUACGUAGGGUGCAAGCGUUAAUCGGAAUUACUGGGCGUAAAGCGUGCGCAGGCGGUUUUGUAAGUCUGAUGUGAAAUCCCCGGGCUCAACCUGGGAAUUGCAUUGGAGACUGCAAGGCUAGAAUCUGGCAGAGGGGGGUAGAAUUCCACGUGUAGCAGUGAAAUGCGUAGAUAUGUGGAGGAACACCGAUGGCGAAGGCAGCCCCCUGGGUCAAGAUUGACGCUCAUGCACGAAAGCGUGGGGAGCAAACAGGAUUAGAUACCCCGGGUAGUCCC
rnacentral:rRNA from 1 species